ACCUGUGGUGCCAACUCCACCUCUCUAGGCUCCUCUGCGUGACAGCCAGAAGCUGCACACAGUUCAAGUUUACUUCAUUUUACAGCAUGGCUUCACAUGAUGUUACAUCAACUGCACAAAUGACAAAAUCUGGAAAAUUUAAAGCAGGUUAUUUUGCAUCUAGACUGGCGUCUUCAUGAGGAAUUGCUGAACUGACUUCAGAUAUGGUCUUGAUGUCAUGAAGACUUUUCUUUCUACUAUCAACCAAAAAAAAUCUGGACUGCAAAAUUAAGGCCAGACAUCUAAAAGGGCUGGAUGGUCAGAGCUGCUGCUUGGGGAAGGGAAUUCGCUGCUGCCACCGGAG